UAAAGUUUAGAUCUUUAUUUGACAAACAAUACUCACGUCUUGUUUAAACUUAUUGUUGGUAGAUAUAUUUUUUUUAGCAUGUAAAGUUGUUUAUUUUAUGUUGGAAGAAUAAUUAUUAUUAUUUGUUGCGCCUUAAUAAAAAUAGUAAUUAGUUAAGUCAAGAAUUUGUCAUUUGCUUACUAAUUAUUUUAAUGGAUUUCAAAACCCUCAUAUAAGAUAUGAAGUGCUAGCUUUAUUUUUCAUCCAAGAUGUUUAUUCUUCUUUGUUCGCAUGUUGUCUUUUCAAAAUGAUAAGAAAGUUCAAACUUUUGCGGCUAAAUAAAAUUAUUUGGAUAUUUUUGACUCAUGCAUAGUAUGAUUGUGAAACUUUUGCUUUGCAUUUUUU
rnacentral:lncRNA from 1 species